rnacentral:rRNA from 1 species
UACGUAGGGUGCAAGCGUUGUCCGGAAUCAUUGGGCGUAAAGCGCGCGUAGGCGGCCCGAUAAGUCCGCUGUAAAAGUCAACGGCUCAACUGUUGAAAGCCGGUGGAUACUGUCGGGCUAGAGUACGGAAGAGGCAAGUGGAAUUCCUGGUGUAGCGGUGAAAUGCGUAGAUAUCAAGUGGAACACCAGUGGCGAAGGCGAGUCUCUGGACAUUUCCUGACGCUGAGGCACGAAAGCCAGGGGAGCAAACGGG